rfam:Canis lupus familiaris chromosome 29, whole genome shotgun sequence.
GUCUACGGCCAUACCACCCUGAACGCGCUCGAUCUCCUCUGAUCUCGGAACCUAAGCAGGGUCGGGCCUGGUUAGUACUUGGAUGGGAGGAGGUGAGGGGGUGAGGAAGGCCGCCGAAGGCCCGGGUGCUGCAGCCA